GCCGGGGGAUGCAGCCGUUAUCCGGAAUCACUGGGCGUAAAGCGUCUGUAGGUGGUGAUGCAAGUCACUGGUGCAAAACUCUGGCUCAACCGGAGGAAAGCCAGUGAAACUGCAUGACUAGAGUGUGGGAGAGGUAGAAGGAAUUCCCUGAGUAGCGGUGAAAUGCGUAGAUACAGGGAAGAACACCGGAGGCGAAAGCGUUCUACUGGAACACAACUGACACUGAGAGACGAAAGCUAGGGGAGGGAAUGGG
rnacentral:rRNA from 1 species